rnacentral:rRNA from 1 species
UAGGGAAUCUUCCGCAAUGGACGAAAGUCUGACGGAGCAACGCCGCGUGAGUGAAGAAGGAUUUCGGUUCGUAAAACUCUGUUGUUAGGGAAGAAAAAAUGUAUAGUAACUAUAUACAAAAUAGACGGUACCUAACCAGAAAGCCACGGCUAACUACGUGCCAGCAGCCGCGGUAAUACGUAGGUGGCAAGCGUUGUCCGGAAUUAUUGGGCGUAAAGCGCGCGCAGGUGGUUUAGAAAGUCUGAUGUGAAAGCCCACGGCUCAACCGUGGAGGGUCAUUGGAAACUAAUAAACUUGAGUGCAGGAGAGAAAAGUGGAAUUCCUAGUGUAGCGGUGAAAUGCGUAGAGAUUAGGAGGAACACCGGUGGCGAAAGCGGCUUUUUGGCCUGCAACUGACACUGAGGCGCGAAAGCGUGGGGAGCAAACAGG